rnacentral:rRNA from 1 species
CCUACGGGCGGCACCAGUGGGGGAUAUUGCACAAUGGGCGCAAGCCUGAUGCAGCCAUGCCGCGUGUAUGAAGGAGGCCUUCGGGUUGUAAAGUACUUUCAACGGGGAGGGAGGCGAUAAGGUUAAUAACCUUGUCGAUUGACGUUACCCGCAGAAGAAGCACCGGCUAACUCCGUGCCGGCAGCCGCGGUAAUACGGAGGGUGCAAGCGUUAAUCGGAAUUACUGGGCGUAAAGCGCACGCAGGCGGUCUGUCAAGUCGGAUGUGAAAUCCCCGGGCUCAACCUGGGAACUGCAUUCGAAACUGGCAGGCUAGAGUCUUGUAGAGGGGGGUAGAAUUCCAGGUGUAGCGGUGAAAUGCGUAGAGAUCUGGAGGAAUACCGGUGGCGAAGGCGGCCCCCUGGACAAAGACUGACGCUCAGGUGCGAAAGCGUGGGGAGCAAACAGGAUUAGAUACCCGAGUAGUC